UAGGGAAUCUUCGGCAAUGGGGGGAACCCUGACCGAGCAACGCCGCGUGAGUGAAGAAGGUUUUUGGAUCGUAAAGCUCUGUUGUUAAGGAAGAACGAGUGUGAGAAUGGAAAGUUCAUGCUGUGACGGUACUUAACCAGAAAGGGACGGCUAACUACGUGCCAGCAGCCGCGGUAAUACGUAGGUCCCGAGCGUUGUCCGGAUUUAUUGGGCGUAAAGCGAGCGCAGGCGGGUAGAAAAGUCUGAAGUGAAAGGCAGUGGCUCAACCAUUGUAGGCUUUGGAAACGGUUUAAAUUGAGUGCAGAAGGGGAGAGUGGAAUUCCAUGUGUAGCGGUGAAAUGCGUAGAUAUAUGGAGGAACACCGGUGGCGAAAGCGGCUCUCUGGUCUGUAACUGACGCUGAGGCUCGAAAGCGUGGGGAGCGAACAGG
rnacentral:rRNA from 1 species